AUUAUUUUAAGCUUUAUAUUGUUAGUAAGUAGAAGUUAUGAAAUCAUAAGAUUUUGGCGGUAUUUUAAGCUUUUUAGAGGAAUUUGCUCUUUAAUGGAUACAACGCCUAGAUCUUACUUAAUUUUGUUAAAUCAGUUUGUAUACCACUAUAGUAAUUAUAUUAAAUGAUUAUAUUUAUGUUUUAUUUUUAUGUAAAUUAUAUUAAGUCAAGGUGCAACUAAUAAUUAUGAAUGAAGUGAAUUACAUUAAUUAUUAUUAUAUUUAUACAUGAAAAGAAUAGAAGGAUUUAAUAGUAAAAUGUUAAUAUUAUGAAUAUUUGAAUAAAGCUCUAAAAUAUGCAC
rnacentral:rRNA from 1 species